AACGCACAUUGCGCCCGCCAGCACUCUGGCGGGCAUGCCUGUCCGAGCGUCAUUUCAACCCUCGAGCCCCCCCGGGGGCCCGGCGUUGGGGGUCGGCCCUGAAGCCGCCCCCGAAAUGCAGUGGCGACCCCGCCGCAGCCUCCCCUGCGCAGUAGCACACCUCGCACCGGGGCGCGGAGGCGGUCACGCCGUGAAACACGCACCAGCUUUUCAAGAGUUGACCUCGGAUCAGGUAGGAAUACCCGCUGAACUUAA
rnacentral:misc_RNA from 1 species